rnacentral:tRNA from 1 species
ACUCGCUUAGUAUAAUGGUAGUACUAGUCCCUUACAAGGUCUAGGCGGUGGUUCGAUUCCAUCAGCGAGUA